GACGAACGCUGGCGGCGCGCCUAACACGUGCAAGUCGAACGGAGCUGAGAGAAGCUUGCUUUUCUUAGCUUAGUGGCGAACGGGUGAGUAACGCGUGAGUAACCUGCCCUGGAGUGGGGGACAACAGUUGGAAACGACUGCUAAUACCGCAUAAGCCCACGAUCCGGCAUCGGCUUGAGGGAAAAGGAUUUAUUCGCUUCAGGAUGGACUCGCGUCCAAUUAGCUAGUUGGUGAGGUAACGGCCCACCAAGGCGACGAUUGGUAGCCGGACUGAGAGGUUGAACGGCCACAUUGGGACUGAGACACGGCCCAGACUCCUACGGGAGGCAGCAGUGGGGGAUAUUGCACAAUGGGGGAAACCCUGAUGCAGCGACGCCGCGUGGAGGAAGAAGGUUUUCGGAUUGUAAACUCCUGUCGUUAGGGACGAUAAUGACGGUACCUAACAAGAAAGCACCGGCUAACUACGUG
rnacentral:rRNA from 1 species